rnacentral:rRNA from 1 species
AUUGAACGCUGGCGGCAUGCCUUACACAUGCAAGUCGAACGGCAGCACGGGAGCAAUCCUGGAGGCGAGUGGCGAACGGGUGAGUAAUGUAUCGGAACGUGCCCAGUCGUGGGGGAUAACGUAGCGAAAGCUACGCUAAUACCGCAUACGAUCUAUGAAUGAAAGCGGGGGAUCGCAAGACCUCGCGCGAUUGGACCGGCCGAUAUCAGAUUAGGUAGUUGGUGGGGUAAAGGCCCACCAAGCCUGCGAUCUGUAGCUGGUCUGAGAGGACGACCAGCCACACUGGAACUGAGACACGGUCCAGACUCCUACGGGAGGCAGCAGUGGGGAAUUUUGGACAAUGGGCGCAAGCCUGAUCCAGCAAUGCCGCGUGCAGGAUGAAGGCCUUCGGGUUGUAAACUGCUUUUGUACGGAACGAAACGGCUUUUUCUAAUACAGAGAGCUAAUGACGGUACCGUAAGAAUAAGCACCGGCUAACUACGUGCCAGCCGCCGCCGUAA